UGGGGAAUAUUGGACAAUGGGCGAAAGCCUGAUCCAGCCAUGCCGCGUGUGUGAAGAAGGUCUUCGGAUUGUAAAGCACUUUAAGUUGGGAGGAAGGGCAUUAACCUAAUACGUUAGUGUUUUGACGUUACCGACAGAAUAAGCACCGGCUAACUCUGUGCCAGCAGCCGCGGUAAUACAGAGGGUGCAAGCGUUAAUCGGAAUUACUGGGCGUAAAGCGCGCGUAGGUGGUUUGUUAAGUUGGAUGUGAAAUCCCCGGGCUCAACCUGGGAACUGCAUUCAAAACUGACUGACUAGAGUAUGUUAGAGGGUGGUGGAAGUUCCUGUGUGGCGGUGAAAUGCGUAGAUAUAGGAAGGAACACCAGUGGCGAAGGCGACCACCUGGACUAAUACUGACACUGAGGUGCGAAAGCGGGGGGAGCAAACA
rnacentral:rRNA from 1 species